rnacentral:rRNA from 1 species
AGCAGCCGCGGUAAUUCCAGCUCCAAUAGCGUAUAUUAAAGUUGUUGCAGUUAAAAAGCUCGUAGUUGAAUUUCGGGAUUAGUACGUCGGUCGUGCCUUCGGUACGUACUGGUGUUACUGAUUCCUACCUUCUGACGAACCAUCAGGUCAUUAAUUUGGUGUGGCGGGGAAUCAGGACUGUUACUUUGAAAAAAUUAGAGUGUUUAAAGCAGGCUCGCGCUUGAAUACAUUAGCAUGGAAUAAUGAAAUAGGACGUUGACCCUAUUUUGUUGGUUUCUAGGAUUGACGUAAUGAUUAAUAGGGAUAGUUGGGGGCAUUAGUAUUCAAUUGUCAGAGGUGAAAUUCUUGGAUUUAUUGAAGACUAACUACUGCGAAAGCAUUUGCCAAGGAUGUUUUCAUUAAUCAAGAACGAAAGUUAGGGGAUCGAAGACGAUCAGAUACCGUCGUAGU